CUUGAUAUGACAGCUUAAUAAAUGUUGACAUCAACUUGGAAUUAUUCGACACAACGUACAAAAUCCAUCGUCGGUUCAUUAUUUUUUAGUCAAGCAAAUAUAUGUUCGCGGUGAUACUAAGUGACACCAGUUUCGUUACGUGCGUGUCUAGUGUAGUUGGAAUUAUUUGUUUACGUUCAAGUAAUUUUCAUACCGUGACAGCAUCAAAACCUUAACUUCGGCUACCGCUGUGUAGAUAAACUCAAAGACUAAACAAAGUUACAUUCAGAAGAGGCAGAGAAGAACAGAAUAAAGAAAAAUGGCGGAAAAGCAGCACCUGGACCAGAUGACGAACCCCUACCCAUCGUACGGGAGUAGCAACGGACCGGCCGCCCCUCUCCCAGUUAUUAAUACUCACCAGACUUCGGCUCCAACAGUGGCCCAAAUGGCCCCAUCUGAAGAGGAGCUGGACCCGAAUGAUAUCUACGCUCUUACUCCACAUAUCGAGAUUGCCUUUGAUGAUACCUUCAAGGAAUCGGAAACAGCAAGAGGGUUUGAAUUCAUGAAAGAUGUCAACCGCUCCAUAUACAGAUACACUCAGUUUUUCGUGUACGCCAGCCUGUCGCUGAUAAUAGCCCCGCUCAUGACCUUCAUGUGGAGUAUCGUCUUCGCUCUCAGCCACCUCCUCCUCAUCUGGUUCAUCCAGCCUGCGAUCAAGAACACCUUCAUCUGGUUCAGGGUGUUUAGCAUGCUGGUAUCGGCCUCAGUCCGCCUCUUCUUUGACCCCUGCUUCCAGUCGGCCGCCCUGAUCCUCUCGGGCAUCAAGGGCCGGUUUCAGCUGAACGACUCGCAGAUCACUCUCAACUUGAAGACAAGCCAGGUCCAGCACGUCUGAUUGCUUAAAGCCACACUGUCCUACGUGUAGCUACUUGCU